GGAGACCGGUCCCCCGAGUGGGAGACCGGUCCCUCGUUGCGUGUCUGAAAACACAGGCUUCGGGAACCGGUCUCUCAUUCCAGAGACCGGUGUCACGCCCCGGGACUGGCAGAGGCCCUCCCGGUAACGCGCCUAGACUUGCCAUAUGUCUACACAUAUAAGGCGUUUAUAACAACAGCGGAAAUAAAAUAAGAGAUGAUCUAUAACUAGAAAUAUCAGAGCAAGUACACAACUAUAAUCUAUGAUAAGAGUAGAUGGAACAACUAAGUAAUAAAGAGAAAACAUAAAAUUAUACAAUAACCAUCUCAAAAGUACAAAAAACGGAUGGUUUCUAAUACACUAGUACAACCCUCAACCUCUCCAAAAAGAAAACAACAAGAGGUAGACCACCUAUCAACAUGUCCCUCGAAGCAAGCUAGCUCGGGGCGAUACCCUUUCCGCGGUCCCUAGCCUCUCCCGGCAUGGAAGACUCUGAAAUAAUAUCAAGAAAAAGAGGGCAUGAGAACUAUAAUUUAUAGUUCCCAGUGGGCAAUUACUGACCUCAGCUCAAUGCACCACUAGGCCCCAAAAGAAAAGGGUAAGUCCAAAAAGCAACAAUAAUAAUAAAUGGAUUGCAUUUAUGGAAGCAUGAUUAAAAUGCUAAACUACUAUGUCACAAAUAAACAUGAUGUCAAAUGUGUUGUACAUCUACUUUAUCAAAAUGAAGUAUGUCCAAGCAUGACUAAUAUGUCCCAACAUAACGAGCAAGUAGGUAUCAUGAUCCACUAUAUCAAUGUAUGAUGAAUAUACUCUAUCAUGGCAGCAAAGUAUACUAUGAUACAACAAAUAAGACUAUCAUAUAUACUACAAGUCCCAACACUAUGCUCUAAGCAUGUCGAGGUAAUCAAACUACUAAGUCUAUCUAGUAGUAAUAGUCAUUUCCCGGUUCAAUGUCAUUGUUUCCAACAUGUUCUAGGACCUACAUAGUGUAGUCCAGCUUGUGCCACCUAAGUGUCGGUGGUAGCUCCAGCAUUCCCACUCUAGGAAUGAGUCUAUCCCUCCCGACCCCGUAGGUUUCUCGAUACCGCACGAGCGAGCAUAAGUCGCGUAGGCCAACUCCGGAGUGCCGGCUUGUAGGGAGCGACCCUCACAAGCAUGUGCGAAUGAGCACAAAUGGCAAACAAGCGUAAUCAUCGUCUCAAGUACCCAAUCAUCAUGUCUCUAACAUGGUAAUAGUUACUAGCAUCUCAAUGAUCUAGCUCUAGGUCACAAUGUGAAGUUCCAAUAUUUACUAAGUUUAGUGCCCCUUUAUGACACUUAGAUAUUUCGAUGUACAAGCAUGUUCCAAUUCUCUCAAUGGCCCUAUCCACUAGGUUCACACAUAACCCGAGCUCAAUACCGCUUUAUGACAUUAGCUCACAAUUUCACAUGUCAAUCUAGUCCAAUGCCCCUUUAUGGCAUUAUAAUAAUUCCAUGUCCAACUAGGGUUUAAGUCCAAUGGCACUUUACAUAGAUCAAUUCUACUAUAUAAACAAGAACCCAAGUCUACCAUAAGAAUGCUAAUGCAC
rnacentral:lncRNA from 1 species